GUUUGGAACGCGAUGAACUGAAGCAAAAACAAUUUGAGAAGACUCCGACGACAACUGAAUAUCGUCGGAAAGCCCAUUUUCUCGGGUUAACGGUAUAUCUUGUGCGCAAUCUAAUGCAAAACUGCAAUAUGCUUGUGCUGGUCCUACACCAUACAAACUCAUGCAAUUAAUUAUGAGGAUGAGCAGCCUUCUCCAACGUGCCAGUGAGGCCUCCUCUUGCUUCUGGGAAUGGGACACUCUGGACAUGAAGGCCAGUCAAAUCAUGGCUCUCCAGCUGGCUUUGGAUCUUCAGCCCCACUGAUUGACCCCCGUCCAGCUGAACAGACCGCAGACCUGGAUGUCACCCUGGUCCUCUGGCUCUUGCAAGGACCCAGACAGAUUCUCUGAUGGGUCAUCAAACCAAACUGCCUGUAUGGCUGGCUAGCACCAAGGUCAUGAAUGACAAAUAUCACAGUCCCACUGCUCUCCUCUCACUCUAACUCAGAGCCACUCAAAGUGUUUGAGCGAGUUGUAAUCUUUGGUACUUUUUGGUCCGGACUUGAAUGCACGGUGUGUAGUUAAUAAUGACACUGAGUGGUUUAGAAUCAGUCCAUUGGCAUUGUUUGUUUUAUGUGUUUUGCAGGGGUAAUUAAGAAAUGGUUGCUGAGUAAAUGAAAACAGCAGUAGCCCUGUCAAUAAAUCUGUUUCAAGAUAACUUAAUUUGGCUAAGCGCUGUGUUACAGAAUACUGCGACACAUAUCACUUGGUUUGAAACAUUCUGAUGAUGAAUUAUUGAGCAUAAAUCCAUUAUCUUGAACAUAUUUUAUUUAUGAAAGCACCAAGACACUGGAGGACUUUAACACUGCGGGGUAAUUAUUGUUCCACAUUGUGUCACCGCUCUUCUCUCAGAUGCAACUGCCAGCGCAAACUGCAAUGAAUCAAAGAAUUGCGACUUUUGAUUGGCAUUUUGUGUGUGCACAAGGCCCAAAGCGACAUUAGCUGAAUUGCUUUAUUUAAUGCUUUCUCCCUCAUUCUGUCUCUCUUUUAGCACGCCUUGUAAACACUGAUGCAAUAAUGCAUUCCAUUAUACAGCGGAGAGGAGAUGAGUGUCUCGCGUGGCUCUUCUCCAUCUCAAUAAUAGGUCAACAGCUGUAUUUAAAAAAUUAAUCACAUUCUUGGCAGUUGCAAAGGUUAGCCGCAACGCUCUGAGAUGCAAUAUUGGAAGCUCAGAUCAGCAGCAAAUCUCUGCGGAGAUGAGGAAGAGUUGCCUUUGAUGAGUACAGCAUGUAAAUGAUUUGUGUGUGUUUAUGGGACACGGGGCUGGCCCUGCCUCACUCCAAGACAGCAGCAUCUGCACCACUGUGUGGCAGAAACUGGCUACAGCAGAUGGAAACAAGCAAGUGAAGAGAUGGCUGACCGUGCCACAACAUUUCACAAUUUGUUCUCUCUUUUGCAGCAGAAAAGCUAUCUCUCUAGCUGUCUCUGUAGCUUAAUAUCUAUAUGUUAACAAGUACAUAUAAAAUAUGUCUAUCUAUAGUAUAUAUAAAAGUUUAGGUUAUAAGUUUCAAAUAACAAACCUUAGACCAACUAAACAGCUUGUUGCUAAUCCAGUUUCUUGGGCUUGACCUUGAUCCAGUGUGAGUUUUUAAGAAAUUCAAAUAUUGAUGCCUCGCCUACAUCAAAGACAAAUUACUCUCAAAGAUAUCGUGAGGUACAAGGACAUGCAUAUGAAAUAUAAAUGUCUACCUUGGAUUGCUUUUAGUUAUUCUAAAAUAUUCACCGUGGUAUUUUGGAGCGCCGUGCCGAUUGCUUGUUGUGCGCAGGCUGACAUUUGGGGAUGAAUUUUUCAGUAAGGAUCUGAUUUGGCCGUCACAGUAAAUGGAUAGCCUUGAAAAGUCAGGAACAUUGCUACCUGGAUUGUUGGAUGAAAAUGAAAUAGUGCAUGAUGCAAGUAACUGAAAGGAAUGUUGAAAUGCUGCCAUCUGUCUGGUGCUCUUGACAGUUCUGAGAGCUGUGCGGCACAUUAGCUAUUAUGUAGUUUGCAAAUGUCAGCUUUGGAAGCUUCUGCCUCUCUUAACAUAUAAAUUAGUAAACGCUUUAGACAAUUAUAACUUUACUACGGGAUUCCCGCCUCCAGAAACCAUUUACCUGUAAAUAUUUCUGCCUAUAAUUUGAGUUCAUAGAUGAACACCACUUUUUAUGCAAAUGGUGAUUUUUUUCUUUCCCUUGGAGUAUAAUUAGGAAUGGAAAAAAACAAUCCUAUGUUAAGUAAUUGUCCAUUAGAACAAAAUGAAAAUAGUGUUUCCAAAACAACAUUGCCCCUUUGGGAAAUCAAUUACUUGCUUUAACUCAUUAAAGAAAGAAUGCCACGAGGCCUGGCAACAUCUUUCCUGGUUUCUGAGCAUCUUUUUGGUGUAUUGAAUUGUUACACUGCGUCAUUAAUUGCCCAACAAGAACAGAUUCGGUUUAAUAUUUUGUUUUAUUGGGGAAAUUUGACAGGAAAGUUGACAGGCCUUUAUUUCAAGAAAGUGCAGUAUGCUCUGGUAAGCAGCUUUAAUCUAAUUAGAUGGCACACACAAAAACAGACUGUGUGAAUUUAAUUUGAUGUGUAUCUUGCAGCAUGCUUCAACAACUGGACUUAAUUUAACUUUUUUUUUUUUUUGCUUUUUGUUUCUCCAAAUUCAGUCAUCAGUCACAUGUAAAGCCGAAAUAAAUCCAAACAGUUAACUCACCAAACCUGCUUCCUGGAAGAUAAGCGUAAUUCCUUUAAAGCUUAAUGGGUCAUACAUUAUUAUUGUUUUGCUGUACCAUCGCAAAUUCCAGGCAAAACUGAAUUUCCUUUUCUGUGUCAAUAACAAACCCAAUGUCACCUCUGAAGUCAGGGGGGUGCGUGAUUUGAUUAAGGUUUUUUUGUGCUUUUCCAGUUUGACCUCUCUCACCUUGUUAGGAAGAAAAGGUUGAAGUACUCUUUUCCCCUCUGGCAAGUACAAAAAAAGCUGAGUAUCCUGUAUGAACACAGUUUAACAAACACAGCUUUUUUUAAAUGUAUGAUUUUAAAAAGGGUUUUAGGUGUGUGCACUUUUGACAGAUAUUUGUAGAUGUAGAUGGUCAAUACGUUCAUUUUUAAAAGGCAAAAGAUGUUGAAAGCCUGAGAGUUUUCUGUUAUAAGGUGAGUCAGUUUCUGAUGUUAUCCUUGACAUAAUUUGGAUUUAUUAUGAGUAUUGCAAAAGGCCUUUGCUUUUCUAUCCUGACAUUAAGAUUCCAUAUCUAUCAACAGGGAUGGCUUGUUUUACCAUAAGGCCAGAGUGUAGCAUGUAUUGCAUGAAAACAGCUUUGUUCUGAGAUGUAGCUGUAGACUUGGGUGGAUGUAUGAGUCAGUGUUCCACCCGUGGAAGUCCUGCCUCCUUCUAUUGCUGCUACCUGUGAUCUGAGUCACUUUUAGGACUGCAACCCACAGCCCCCCUGUGUUUUAACUACUGGAUAGCAUGCAAAGCACCAUGUUUGUAGGAUAUUGAAAAAGACCUUUGACAGGAAGUGGAGCCCCACUGACCAUUGGGGAUCUGUGACCGUGGUUCUCUAAACUGGCAUAUCAGAUUUCUGUCUACAUCCUCUUAAACAACAAACUCAGCAGUGUAAUAACUAAAUCUCAACAGGCAGUUUAUUUAUUUAUUUUUUAACAACAACAACAAAUUAGCAGCAGAAAUCCAGUAAUUCCUCAGUAUAUCCUGAGUGCAUUGUGUUUGCAGCAAUGAAAUGUAAGUACAAAUUAAUCAGUGCAAACCAGAAAGAUGGCUUGCAAUCAAUUUAUAUAAUACUCCCACAUAAAAGAUUUUUAUUACAGGAAAUCUUGGUAGGAAUAUUUGGCCUAUAAAGAAAUUAACUUUGUCUCUAUGCUAAGUAUGCCAAUGCAUCAAGCCAUUAUCUCUGUGAUAGAUGAAUCUUAUUUGAUAUUACACAAGACAAAUGUAUUCAUAUGGCAUAUUUUUCUAAUUUUUCCUGUCUGACCAUCUGUGUGUGUUACAUCUUACCGAGAUUAAUCUGUUGAUCCUAGUGUGAUAGAGGGCAGGUGGUUUUUUUUUUCUUUCUUCUUUUUUUCCCUAAUGCCAAUAGUAAGUAAGAGCUGAUAUAUAUAUAAAAAACAUAAUCCACAACAUUAUAUAUUACACAUUAUAUUUCUGAUAUUUGCAAUUUCUUAGAGACAGUAAUGUUCACAUCUGGGCAUAGUGAGACCUUAUUUCACUUCUCUGUAUUUCAUUUGUUCAUGUGAAUAUGAGCACUGAGACUACGCAAAAAUGGAUAGACUGUGACCAGAAAGUUGAUAUGUCAAUAUCAGUGCAAUAUGAAUUAGUACUUUCUGUCCAUGGAUCAGUAUACUACAGUUUUCCUUGAUUCCUUUGAUGCAAUUCUGACAUUAAUGUCAUUCUAAUCACUCAGUAGUCAGAAUACUCAAAACAGUUAAGAUAUUUUUCCUAACAAAAGCUCCUAAAAAGAUUUUGUGCAAAAGUCUUUAUUCACAUGUGUCAAAACACUCAAAGUCAGUCAAUCACUUGAACUCUGAACCAAUGAAUAAAAACCUUUUAACCACGGUUUUAAGACUUUGACACCAAUUGGUUAUAAGCUUUUAUCAAAACCUUUCUGAUUUGGAAAGAGAACUGAAAAAUGUAGGCCUGAAAGAUUAUUUGAAACAUUACAAAAUUGCUGGAAUCGAGAAAAGGCCAAUGAUACAUGUGAAACUGCUGCACAAAAUAGACAAAGCCACCCCGCUGAGGGAUCGCUCCUGUCAGCUAAGAACAGGAAACCGAGGCCACAAUUCAUACAGAAAAGCAAAAUGAUACAUGUGUAACUAUGUGAUACUAUCUCCUUUUUCUUUCAGCUGCUCCCUUUAGGUGUCGCUACAGCGCAUCAGCCUCCAUCUCACCCUAUCCCUAACUCUUCUGUCACACCAACACUCUUCAUGUCUUCCAUCACUACGUCUGUGAACUUUUUCUGUAGUCUUGCUCUUUUCCCCCUGGCAGCUCCAUCUUCAACAUCCUUUGUACAACAUCCCUCCUCUGCACAUAUCCAAACCAUCUCAGCCUUGUCUCUCUAACUUUGUCUUCAAACUGCUCAACCUGAGCUGUCACUUUGAUAUGAUUUCUAAUGUUUUUCUAAUUUCUGAUGCUAUCCCUCCUGGUCACUCUUAGUGAAAAUCUAAGCAGCUUUAGUUCCGUCUUCUCCAGCUUGGCCUUUUGUCUUUUUGUAAAUGCCACUGUCUCCAGAGCAUAAAUUACAGCAGGUUUUACUGCUUUCACUCUUCCUGCUAUCCUUGUAUUGCAAAUGACCCCUGGUACUAUCAAAAAAUGGAGAACAAAAAAUAUAUAUAACCUCAGAGCAUAGCAUAGACUCCUGUAUAGUACAGCACACUUACAACAUGGUACAGUAUAUGAUUAUGUGUAAUUAGCAGUGCCAUGACAUGUACCUGCGAUACAAGGCUGGGAGUAUGUGUUUCUAUUUCUUUCAGCUGAACUUUUCUAUUUGCUUUCAAAUAAAUGACCAUUUCACUGCUGCCACAGAGCAUGUGUGACUGACCUUACUAUUUCAUACCUACUUGAUAACAGUUUUAAAUGAUUUAACUGAAAACACGUAUGCAGUGUUGGACAAUGAAAAGAGCUAAUGUGAAUGGGGAAAUGUGCUCUUAACUACAUUAAGAGUGGUGAGAACGAUGCUCCUGAUGUGAGAACUGCAUCAAAGCAACUGAGAAAAACUGUAAAUUAGUUAAGUGUAAUGACUGAAAGCAGAAAGAUGAGUAAGUUAGAUGGAAGUUUAAGGCAACUUCUAGAUUUAUAGGCAAAGAUGCUAAUUUCACUUACCCUCUAUUUUCAACUCAUAUGCUUUUGACCAAACUAGCUUGAAGUCAGGCAAUGAUUUACACCUAGCUCACCAUUCAGCUUGUUACAGCCACUGUCUUACAUGUGCCCUCCUAAAUUCACUUAUGUAGAACACUUGUCUUUCCCAAGGCGUUAGACAGGACGAGCGGAUACACACACAGAUUGCAAACUAGUGUUAAUGAUCGGCCUGUCAGGGAGAAUCUGUAUUACUUAAUCUUGCGGUCCUGCUGUACAUGAUCAAAGCAAUGCAAAUGCAAUGCUGUAUUGAUUUCUACAGCAUCCCUAUUCUCAUGCUUAUAUCACUCCUUUUACUGCUACUCAGUUUCCAUUCACAUCUCUAAUCCCUGGACUGCUGUCAUUAAAACGACCUGGAACACCAAAGAUGGACUUUUCCAUGUUUCUGAUUUCUUGUUAUUAUUGAAGGCAGUUUGUUAUCCUAAUGUUUUUUUUUAAAUGCAAGUGAUGAUAUUUGUUUUUUUUUUCUUUUUAAUUCUGGAAGAAUGAUGAGCUAACAAUCUCUAUAAUAUAUAACAUUUGUGCGUAAUCAGAUUUUUUUCUUUUAAAUCUGUAUAUCUCAUUGCAGAUUUGAAAGAUGUCAAUUGAAGAUCAGGGGAUUAAAGAGGAUGCAGAGCUGUA